rnacentral:rRNA from 1 species
UACGUAGGGUGCAAGCGUUGUCCGGAAUUAUUGGGCGUAAAGAGUUCGUAGGCGGUCUGUUACGUCUGCUGUGAAAACCCGGGGCUUAACCCUGGGCUUGCAGUGGAUACGGGCAGACUAGAGGCAGGUAGGGGAGAAUGGAAUUCCCGGUGUAGCGGUGAAAUGCGCAGAUAUCGGGAGGAACACCGGUGGCGAAGGCGGUUCUCUGGGCCUGACCUGACGCUGAGGAGCGAAAGCGUGGGGAGCGAACAGG